rnacentral:rRNA from 1 species
CCAGCCACCGCGGUUAUACGAGAGACCMUAAUUGAUAUUUACGGCGUAAAGAGUGGUUUAGGAAAAAAAGAAAUAAAGCCAAAGAUCCUCCUAGCUGUCGUACGCAUUCUGAGGACACGAAGCCCCUCCACGAAAGUAGCUUUACUAAACUUUUCCUGACCCCACGAAAGCUAAGAAACAAACUAGGAUUAGAUACCCCAC